UGACCUAUUUUAGUGGGGAAUGGGUCAUAUUAGGGAAGUACAAUGUGCUCUAAAAGCCCCUUAUUUAAUUGAGACAGACAAGUACUGAUUUACAACACUUAACCCUGGAUUGCAGCAAUUAAAGUAAUCCCUAGAACUCUUAGACAAGAGCAUGUUUACAUGUCGGCCACAUUUCAGCUCAACGACAAAAAUGACAACUAGAUGAAUCAAAGAAAGUGCAGUUUAUAUAACUUUAGCGACACCUUUGGCAACAAGCGUUUGUAACACUCAUACUACUGCAAUUUCAAGUGCUUCAUUCCAUUUUCAUUAAGCUCAAAAGCCACUAUAUUACCUCAUUGGGCGAUAGAAAGUGCCUUAACAGACAUUCAUAAAGUGGAAAUUCUUCAAGGCUGCCACUUUAUUAUCUGUAGCUAUUUUUUAUGAGGAAAAUAGGAGGCCAUGGUUCAAGUCUUUAAUUGUAGGCAAAACAGGAUUAGUUAGGGUUCAAGAGGAUUAUUUUUACAAAAUUAUUUGUCAGGAGAUCAUUCAAAAGAUGCAUCAAUCUGUGUUUUUAAUGCAGCAAAUCGACCGGUUACGAAAACAGUGUGAUUAUUGAUUUUGUGACUAUAAUUUAUAAAUACAUACCUGAUGGUUUAAAUUACACGUUUGUUGAGUGCCAAUUUGGUACCUGUAAUUUCAUGACUUUGAUGUUAUUGAGGGCAUGAACUGGUCCUACAUUUUUAAAGGCAACCUUGAUCUGUCUUGUAUCCCUAUUAUUAUUUUGUAUUCAAAGGAUUACGCUUUUUGUUGAACGUUGAAGCAUACAUAAUGCAUACAUUUGAUAGCUUUUAAGUCAUUAUCAUAGAUAAUACAAUAUAUAAUCCAUUGGAACAGUCAAGUCAUGGGUGUCAAUUAGUCUCUUACGGAACAUCUGCAUUAGUUUUGGAACCAGUCGCCAAAAAAAAUCCAUAUUUUGAACAUUGAGGGCAGGAGUUCAAUAGCCAAAACUCAUUAGAACUAGAGUAUGCAGAAACCAGAGAAACCAGCUAGAGUAAGACAGAAUUUUGAGGUAUCCGACCGAAAAGUUCCCACCCCUCCCGUCGGGCAUACUCCAAAGCUGCUCCCCCAAAACGCGUGACUAGCUUGCUAACUUUAGCAAUAGGUCUGCUUAGCCUUGUGGAAAACUCGGUUCAUGCGUAAUGGGUGAAUUCAUGCGCAAUGUCUGCACAGGCAGAAUGUGCGCAGGUAGUGUGUUUGUCAAAUAGGAAAUAAGAAAUAUGAAGGAAAAGGAAAAAGUCCCUCUAAAUUAAUUUGCCUACCCUUGCUUUAAUAUUUGGUCCUUAAUAACUUUUCUAUGAAAUUUCGCUGUCAACCAGUACCUCGCAAAAUACAGAACAUGAAGAUGAACAAGCCCCUAAGAGAGAAUGUGUGUGUCUGUGUCUGUGUGUGUGUGGCUAUAUAACUGCAGUGUCAGGAACGUAUAGUGUGCACACAGGGGUUUGUGUACUUUGUCAACCCUGCUGCUGCCAAAAGGAAGUAGCUCGGCAGAGCUGCAAAGCAGUUAUUUUAAUGUCUCCUCAUCAUGUGGUGGAUGUUAAUUAACAGUCUCCACAGCAUCAUGUUAUGCUUACCUUGUCUUUUUAAAAUGUGAAUCCCCUCCUGUGUUUACUCAGACCUGCGUGUUGUAUCGGCGGGUGUCAGGUACAGGAGGCUGGUCAAAAUAAUAACCAAACAGAGCAACCGUCUCUGGUAAGGGCUGCCCCUGAGGUGUGAUGCUAGUAAUUGGUAAGUAAAUCAGUUUAUAUAUUUAUAUAUUAUUCAACAACAAGUCUUUCCUCUUUGAGGAUUUGGCCCGGUGCUCCAACACCAUGGCAAAACGCUGUGGAUCCCACUCUGCUUUUCUGGCAUACUGAGUAGCUUACAGAGCUGCCGACAGGAACCUGUAAGAGAAGAAAAGUGGGUCAAAAUAAAUCCACCCUCAUUCCCCCCUUCCUCCCUCUGCCCAAAGUUGUGUUGAGUCCUCCUCCGCUGUCUCCUUCUGAAAGUCUCAUGGCAGUGAUGGUCGACACAUCAACAGUGUCUACUGUCAAGUGGCCGUUGCGUGUUCACUCCGCGAUAUGAUCCGCCAUUCAUUUCCUACGGGGGCCGGCGUCAACACUGAGUGAGGCGUUUGCUGCCCUGAGCGCUCGGAGCAGCUGCUUUGACCUCCGCUGACACUGACCCUUCAAACGUUUCCAGCCACAUUGCACCUUUUGUGUGGAAGCAACAGAGUGUGAAUCUGUCAGAAAGAGGAAAACCUGAAAGCAGGCCUCAGGGAACACGGUGCAUCGGUCUGUGUGUUUCUUUCAAACUCAAUCAACCGGCGGCCUCGAUUCAUCUUGGAGAGAUUCUCUGUUCCUCAAGGAGUCUAUUGUAUCCUCGGAGUUAGUGACGGCCCUGUAAGUCAAGAACAUGUUUAUUCAUGUUUUUCCCUCCUCCUACUUAUUUUCUUUUUCUUACUUGAAUGUAGAGCUGCGUUCUUUCAUCACCCACGUCCGUCUAUGUCCUCCAAACGUUAAAUUUUUCACUACGUUUUUAUGCAUUGCUUAUGUAAGAACCUUCAAGUGUUUGGGUGGAGAAUGGCCCACAUUUGAAGGAUCUGUUGAGAAAUGUGGGAAUUCAUUUGAUAUAAUUUUUAUAUAUUUGACUUACUCGCUUCUCCUGCCUGGGCUUUGUGCGGCAAUUAAAUGUCUCACAAAGACAUUUACAUUAAGUAAUUUAGAAGACGUUUUCAUUCAAGGGGACAAACUGUUUAGGAUGGCGAGAAACAAUAGCAGGUAUCCACAAAUAAAGCAAUAGAUAUUGAAUUGAAGGUACAGAGCAGUCUAGCGCUUUGUAACAUGUUUGUCCUAAUCCUGUAUUAUGUUUGGUUAAACUUUUCAUCUGUGUCCUUUUACUGUGCUUUUAAAUACAUAAGCAAGAUGUAAUGAACACUAUAACUACAUGUAACAGCAUGUACAUAAUAUGUUAUAACGGGAUGCGACAGAAAGGGUUAGGGGUUGUGGUUAAGAAUAGCGAAAAAGCGAUUUAAAUUCCUUAGCGUUAUUACAUAUUAGAGUGAGAGAGAUAUCUGUGGUAGUAUCUCGCUAUAAUACCCAUACGCGGUACGAUAUUGGUACUUUUUGCAUCCAGCUCGACUAAUCUAGGCCUCCACAUCGUCACAGUGUGGCCGUUCAGGUGACGGAGAGGGUGAAUCCCUGAACUAGAUAUUGAAGUUAUCAAUAUAGGUUAUCUGAAGCGGCGAGGGCACCUCAAACUGCUCUCAUUCUUGUACUCCGCGACACGAAGAGCUGGAAGUGACACAAGGCACACUCGAAGCAAUAUGAAGUCUACUUUACUUUUAAUCCACACGGUGUGAACAGGGGCCUGGUGUCAUGCUCUCUUUUCUCCUUUUAGAGCACGUUGGGAACUGCUGGGAACUGAUUUUAAAUGGUUCACUCUCAGUGCUGGUAGCACAUAACAGUGGAAGCAGAUAAGCACUUGAACAGAUGAGAAUUCAGACCGCCUGGUUGGGAUCAGACAUGUCACGGGAUUUGAAUAAAUAAAAUCCUGUUUUCCAAAGUUGUCUCAGUAAAAUGUGUGUGUGUGUGUAUGUAGGCACGUGAAUAUUACGUUUUAUAUUGUGUGUGUGUGUGUGUGUGUGUGUGUGUGUGUGUGUGUGUGUGUGUGUGUGUGUGUAGUAUGCAUAUAAAGGGUAUUUAUUGUGGUAAACAACUAAAUCUUCUUGUCUCCUCCGUGCGGUGUUGUGGUGGCCUGCUCGUUCUGCUUCAUCCUUUCUGUCCGAACUACCUCCAUGUAGAGUUAGUUGGUAAUGGUUCAAAGCCACUCCUGGCGCACUGAGGGUCGGUUCACACCGAAUCGGGCAUUGCGUCGAAAACGCCACUUCAACCGCUCGUUUGCGUUUCAUCUGCGGCAGCUGGGGCCGCACGGGGUGGCGAAAAACGACGCAGCCGGCCUGCGGCAUAAACUCAAGACAAUUUAACAUUUGGAGAUAAGCAACCCAAUGUGGUGGCCGAUCCCCUGAGCCGGCGAUCACACCGGAAGAAGAGCCUUGUUCACCGUGUAACGACAGCCUCGUAGCGUUCUGCUGUUUACCAAGUGACCGCUGAUGAUGGAAGAGCGACUGAUCACCGCCGGGUGGUCCUUUCCACAACCCGGCCACGAAGGAGUUGUUGAGGUGCACGACGUCACCCAAACGGACCAUGGAGCGACACUCCCACGUGGCCUCGGCAGUUUGCAGUAAUCGCCGCAACGCUUGAUUUGGUGUGUAUGAGCCCUUUGUCAAACGGCUGACAGGUGAUCACUUCCAGUUUUACUGUCGUGUUGUAACUGAAUAAGACGGACAGAUGAACCCGGGGUAAAAACACAGCCUUCGUGGCCACGAGGCUGAUGAUAAUACUUAUUACAUCCCGACGAAUGUUCUUUGAGGAGUUGAAUGGAAGAGGUGGAAAAGGAACGGGCUGUGAUUGAUGUGGUGAGCUAGGGUAAACAAGGCUGACGUAUAUCAGUUUGUUGUGUUUUUGCCCUUGCCAAUAGGAUUUAUUUUGAUUAAAUAAGUAUUCAGGAUAUUUUUGCAACGCAUUCAGCGCCGUUCAAGGCUUUAGCUUGAUAUGAUAAUUAAUGCACAUUAAGAUAUCAAAAAUUAUCUUUUUUUAUUAAAAAACACUACAUGUCCAGCAGUCUCUUGUGUCUUGUUUCCCAUCCUAUCUAAAAGACUCCUGGUUCAUUCAACUCUUUCCUAGAUGAUUUUUCAUUUCUGUAUGUGUGUGACCAUGUUCCUAUUAUAAACAGCACCACUCACAAUCUUGGCCCCUUGAUUCUGAUGGUUUAAUACAAUCGAUGAUCUUUUCUCAAGUGACAAAUUGGGAAUUCAAUAAAUCAUUCCUGAUUUAAGUGUCUAUUUCAACUGAUCGUAUUCUUAGGAAAGAAAGUCAAAAGUCAAACCUUUGAUGUUGCAGACCGCAAUAUUUUCACGAGACACAUAUGAUGUUGUAUUUUCCAAUACUAGAAAGUAGAGCUUGACGGAUCUGUCGUUAAUAAUUUCAUGAUUUCCGUGCAACUUUUAUUGAUUUUCGAUAAGAGCUUAUUUAAUGCUUUUAGCUAAAGCAUGCAGCUGUCUUAGAAUAUUCGGAAUACAUUUUGCGAGCCAGCAUAGCUGUACAUAUAAUGCAUUGUAGUACAACAUGACAAUAUCCUCUAUGGCUAUAAUUAGGUAUAAAGUCUUUGAGAAGUAUGGCAAAAUGGAUUCCGUGUGUGUGUGUGUGUGUGUGUGUGUGUGUGUGUGUGUGUGUGUGUGUGUGUGUGUGUGUGUGUGUGUGUGUGUGUGUGUGUGUGUGUGUGUGUGUGUGUGUGUGUGUGUGUGUGUGUGUGUGUGUGUGUUUUU